rnacentral:rRNA from 1 species
AGCGAACGCUGGCGGCAGGCCUAACACAUGCAAGUCGAACGGAUCCUUCGGGAUUAGUGGCGGACGGGUGAGGAACACGUGGGAACGUGCCUUUUGGUUCGGAACAACUCAGGGAAACUUGAGCUAAUACCGGAUAAGCCCUUCGGGGAAAGAUUUAUCGCCAAUAGAGCGGCCCGCGUCUGAUUAGCUUGUUGGUGGGGUAAAGGCCCACCAAGGCUACGAUCAGUAGCUGGUCUGAGAGGAUGAUCAGCCACAUUGGGACUGAGACACGGCCCAAACUCCUACGGGAGGCAGCAGUGGGGAAUCUUGCGCAAUGGGCGAAAGCCUGACGCAGCCAUGCCGCGUGAAUGAUAGAAGGUCUUAGGAUUAGUAAAAUUCUUUCACCGGGGAC